GACGAACGCUGGCGGCGUGCUUAACACAUGCAAGUCGAACGGAAAGGCCCUGCUUUUGUGGGGUGCUCGAGUGGCGAACGGGUGAGUAACACGUGAGUAACCUGUACCUGACUUUGGGAUAACUUCAGGAAACUGGGGCUAAUACCGGAUAGGAGCUCCUGCUGCAUGGUGGGGGCUGGAAAGUUUCGGCGGUUGGGGAUGGACUCGCGGCGUAUCAGCUUGUUGGUGGGGUAGUGGAUUACCAAGGCUUUGACGGGUAGCCGGCCUGAGAGGGUGACCGGCCACAUUGGGACUGAGAUACGGCCCAGACUCCUACGGGAGGCAGCAGUGGGGAAUAUUGCACAAUGGGCGGAAGCCUGAUGCAGCAACGCCGCGUGCGGGAUGACGGCCUUCGGGUUGUAAACCGCUUUCGCCUGUGACGAAGCGUGAGUGACGGUAAUGGGUAAAGAAGCACCGGCUAACUACGUG
rnacentral:rRNA from 1 species